AUGGAAACCCAGUGUUUCUCUGCAGAAAGGAGAAAGAAAUUAUUCAGUUCAGUUUAAAGGCUCAGGAGGAAGAGAACAAUUUUUAAUCCCUUUUUUCAGUGCAGGCUGGGGAAGAGGCAUGGUUCUGGAGUCCUGUGAUUGGUUCUGCCCAAGGUUAGUGCUCUGUGGGUGGAUGAGGGGAAGCGGAGAGCAGGAAUGGCAGGAGAGCGGUGAGAGACCUCCGUCCCAGUGAGGAUGACAUGUUCUAACUCAGGAAAUGAAUAGAUGCUCUUGCGAUUGAAGAAAAAUCUACGCUGGAGGCAGACAGGCUGGCAGCCAGCUCUUGCUGAUGGUGAGGAGCCUCAUUAUCUUAAGACAACACACAGUGGAGAUGUGCUUUACGUAAUUGGCCUGCCCUGUGAAAACCCCUGGCUGUUUUUUCAGAUAAGGAGACUGAAGCAUCUAGAGUUGGAGUAAUUUCCACAAGAUCACAGGUUAGUAUGAAAGGUAAGAGAUUAAUGAAGCAUUUAUUCAUCAAUCUUACCUGUAAUAGGUCUAGAUAUGGAAGAGCUAGGAUCUUUAGGCAGAAGAUCUGUGAUAACAAUGAAUUGCUAGCCUACUAUGGGACAGUGAUAUGGAGCAGGGAGUGGGUUAAGUUGCGUGAAUAUUCCCUCAGCACUGCUAGAAGCCACAGAGCCCAGUGAUAUCACUGCCAGACAACUGUGCAGUAGCUAAAACCAUCAAGAAUAGGAAUCUGAGCUUGAGGCCAGCCUGGGCAACAUGCCUAGAAGCCCAUUUCAAAGAAAAAAAGGUAGCCGGGUAUGGUGGUGAGCAACUGCAGACCCAGCUACUCGGGAGGCUGAGGUGGGUGGAUGACUUGAGCCCAGGAGUUCGAGACUGCAGUGAGCUCUGACGACAUCACCGAACUCCAGCCUGGGUGACCGAGCAGACCCGGUCUCAAAUUUAAAAAUAAGGAAAGAGAAAGAAAGAAAGAGAGAGAGAGAGAGAGAGAGAGAGAGACCCGGUCUCAAAUUUAAAAAUAAGGAAAGAGAAAGAAAGAAAGAGAGAGAGAGAGAGAGAGAGAGAGAAAGAAAGAAAGAAAGAAAGAGAGAGAGAGAGAGAGAGAGAGAGAAAGAAAGAAAGAAAGAAAGAAAGAAAGAAAGAAAGAAAGAAAGAAAGAAAGAAAGAAAGAAAGAAAAUAGGAAUCUUAGAGGGAAAGUAAAUUGUGGUAGGGUGGCAGCUUUCUUCUGUCCCACGUGCUGAGCUGAGGUUUAUUUGGGACAUUUGGUAGUGGAACACCUUGUGUUAGGAUUCCAUUGAAAGUUAGUGAAUACUACCAUGUUAGAAUUCCAUGGAAAGUUAAAAUCAGACUAGGAGGCCAAUCUCCCCAGUCAUGCUAUCUAAAAAAGGUCAUCAUCAGCAACACCCACUGAAUGCCAGAGGGGGCUCCUUGGUACCCUGCUUUGGGCUCAGAUAGACUGAGGAGUAUGGGAAGGCAGUUUCUGGUCUGCAUCAUAUUUUCCUCCUGAGGGACCCAGGAACUCUCUUCUGCUAGGCAAAUCCUAAGUAAUCUUUUCAAAAUGAUACAACCCAUGAUAAGUCUUACCCUGGGAUGGCAUAUGACCUACAUUUGAUAGGGGUUAUAAUCUUUCACCUACAAAGCUAUGGACAGCUCCAAAAUGAGUAGUUCCUUUAUAUUGUAAAGAUA
rnacentral:lncRNA from 1 species